CUUCACAGUAUAUUAAGGAGUUUGUCACCUGAACUGUUAGAGAAGUAUAACUCACCUGUAGGAAGAAAAUCUUACAGAUAAAAACUUUCAUGUUUUUCUCUUUUAUUUAAACGUUUCUGACAUUAACCUGCUGAUCAACUUUUCCGCCUCAGUCAGAAACAGUGAAGUUUAUCUUACAUUACAGUAUCAAUAAAUAAAGGACAAAUACACUUUAAUAAAUAAACCAUACAAAUUAACAUUUAUAUGAUAAAUAACAGUGAUAAAUCUGUGUCAUACUUUUUAUAUGUUAUACAUUAAAUGUCCAUCAUUCGAAUUUGUAACAGGUCAAUGUUUGACAGGAAGGAGGAUGAAUAUAUGACAAAAUAAAUCACACAUAUAAAUAAUAAAAUCCAGCACACAGGUGUGAGGUGAGGUGUGAAUACUUCCCUCUACGUUAACAUUAAAUUUUCUUAGUAAAUAUAGUAAAAAUAACAACAAUAAUAAUAAACUCUAUCUCUGUAUUUACACCCUCCUCAUGUCGUGUUCAUACCAGAUGCAAACUAAUUUAUUUAUUUGCUUAAUUGGUGUGAAAUUAAAAGCUCAAAUGUGUAGACUGUAUAUAGUAUAAACAACUCUACCUCCUGCCUUUGUGAUGACACUUACAGUAACUACAUGUCAACAUCGCAAGCAGGGGGAGAAACAUUUAUAUUCUGUGUAAUAAAUUUCUAAAGUUUGUCCACAGCUCCAUAGGGAUUGCUGGAGGAGGCGGGAUUUAUGACCUAUACUGCAGCCUGUCACCAGAGGGUGCUGUUCUCAGAGUGGCUUCACCCAGCAAGGAGGCAGACGGUACACAUAAAUCAUCUGCACAAAUGCAUUUAUUUGCUCUGGUGUGAACACGACAUCAUGGUCAGACAUGAACACUACUGCCCCCUAGCUUUACUGAAGAACAGGACCUCUGUGUCUGACUGACAGACAGAGACAGCUGAAGGCACUGAAGGUAAAAGACAUAACAAAGUAAAGGUGGAGCUCUCCGUGUCAGUAUCAUUCAUAAUGAGUAGGUCUCCUUCACAGACUGUUUCACUACAUCUCUAAUAUCUAGAUUUCACUGCAUGCAGACAGCUGACAUUAAACUCUAAACAGCAGUGAAA